GGCAGAGGAGGGGUCUAAUAAAAAUUCUGCCCAACCAUUCCUCCUGCUUCUCAGUCCACACAGACAUGAAUGACUGCGUCUUGCUGCUGUGACAAAUAGGCUACUACAUUAAAUGGUUCUUCAUCUAUAGUGGAUGUGGAAUAUUUAUGAGUUCAAAUGUUGUUUGUUCAUGUUUUAUCAAUAAUAAAAGGCAUUCCUAUACGGGACAUUCCAGGAUUUUGAUACAUUUCCUGUCCCACCACUUAAAUCUCAAAUUUUUUAUGCUAUUAAGUUGUGUCCCACAACAUGCGCGCAACCCUGUUACCAUAAGGAAUUUUACCUGGCAGAGAAAGAGCUAAAAAUAUUUGUCUACUGGCACAAAGGAAGUUACAACACAAGGACAUUUUCUGCUCACAUGGCAAGACCAAAGGUAAGUGCUCUAACAAUUUUCAGGUUUUUUUCCCAAAUAUGUUUGUCCAAGUUGCGUGUGUCACUCAGUGAACGCAACUCUGUUACUCAUAUUGUACGACUAAUAUUGAGUAGAGUCGAAAUGUACUUUAUAUACUUAUAUAACCAUGUUUGUCCUUGAUCUUGUAUACAUAGCUAAAUUUUACAGUUAGCAUCUGUUCCAGGGGUAAACCACAACUUAGCCUAGAUUUGCAACCC